rnacentral:rRNA from 1 species
UCCGGUGGCUACAGCGAAGGGGCCCCACCCGUUACCAUUCCGAACACGGUAGUUAAGCCCUUCAGCGCCGAUGAUACUCCGGGGGCAACCCCGCGGGAAAGUAGGUCGCUGCCGGAA